GACGGGCAGACUUUCACCUUAACUAUUCCUCUCUACGUGCUCUGCUGGAUUGCUGUUUUGGUUUUUCUCACAUAGAAUUAAAUAACGCUGGAGAUAGAACAGAAAAAAAAAUCUUUGAAAUAAUAGGUAAGUAAUCACUGCAGCAGAACCGUUGGCAACAGCCACAGUAUUGAGAUGCAUAGAAAAAUAACAGAAAAGUUAAAAAAAAGAAGGCCAAAAAGAGACUUGAGACACGUGCUUCAGUUUGUAGUACAGCACUGAUCUGAAAAAGCCCUUCCAUAUCAAUUGGAUUAACUCCCCUACAAAUAUGCUGCAGUGAAACCUACUCUGCAGAAAUACCUUUACGUAACAAAAUGGAACUCACCCUGCCCAGUAACUGGUAAAAGAUUAUCCAGACAUGGUUACAGAUACAAAGGGCCAACUUGCAGGAACAGUAACAAUUCUACAGUUCACAAAAGGCGUUUGAUAGAGGUGAACAUGCACAGCUGGGAAGGAGUACAGAAUGACUCUAUUCACCGUUUCAGGCUUGCAGACAGAUAGAAAUUACUUCUGCUGUUAGAGUAAGGAAAACCAGGUCUCAGUUCCUGGCUGGGAGCGACGGCCCUUCGAUUCAGGGAAGAGGUGACUACACGCACCAGCAACAGAGACGCCAACACGUGAGGCCGGGCCCUGCUCAGAGUGCAGAGCCAGCGUGGCCCACCAGAGGGCUCCACGUUAACCACGCGCUGUGCUGUGUCAGUGCCGCUUAUGGCAGGCAAUGAGAAGUAGGAGAAAUAAGCUGCAAACUGCCAAACACGCGUGCACUUCAUAGAAUCAUAGGAUCACAGAAUUGCUCAGGUUGGAAAAGACCUUAAAGAUCAUCAAGUCCAACCACAACCUAACCAUACUACCCUAACUAACAACUCUGCUGAAUCAUGUCCCUGAGCACCACAUCCAAACGGUUUUUAAACACAUCCAGGGAUGGUGACUCAACCACCUCCCUGGGGAGCCUAUUCCACUGCUUAACAACCCUUUCUGUAAAGAAGUUCUUCCUUAUAUCCAACCUAAACUUACCGUGGUGCAACUUGAGGCCAUUUCCCCUCGUCCUGCCACCUGUCACCAGUGAGAAGAGACCAAACCCACUCUGGCUGUAAGCACCUUUCAGAUAUUGGAAGAGAGCAAUAAGGUCUCCCCUCAGCCUCCUUCUCCCCAGUCUAAACAGCCCCAGUUCCUUCAGCCUCUCCUCAUAAGGCAUAUUCUCCAAGCCCUUCACAAGCCUUGCUGCUCUUCUUUGGACCUGCCCCAGCGUCUCAAUGUCCUUUCUGUACUGAGGUGCCCAAAACUGAACACAGUGCUCGAGGUGGGGCCUCAGCAGAGCUGAAUACAGGGGCAUGGACUACUCCACUGCAGAGAUGGGGCACUGAAGUUCUUGGAGAGAAAAGCAAACGGGGACAGAAGUUCACAAUAACUAUUUUUUAUUACAUUACAAUAAAUAGGAGCAGUACAGUUUGACCAAAAAAAAAAAAAAAAAAAGACCCAAAAAAAAAAAGACCAAACCCCCCCCCCCCAAAAAAAGACAAAUUCCAGAUCACCUCACAGCACGUACUCCUAAAAACAUUACAAAUUUUAAAACGAACAGAGGUUUUUUGUUUUGUUUUUUUUGUGUUUUUUUCCUUUUUUUUAAAUGUAGUAUCUGGUCUUACCAACAUUCCUAGGUCACGCAACCAAUGAUGGAAAAAACUGGAUCACACUGCAUAUGUUCCACAUCAAAUAAAGCACGAUGUACAAAAUGUGCAUGUUUCAGUUUACACUAUACAAAAAUAGUUAAAAUACAUUCCAGGUAAACAUAUUACAUUAAGAAGUCAUUCUAGUAAGAAGUUGGCACUCAAGAGGAAAAAGCAGAAGUAUUUUCAACAUGAAAACACGAGACAGUGGAAUAAAGAAAUGUUAGGAAAGGUUUACCAUCUAUGUAGCUUUAUGUAAACUCCAGACAAAAUGAUUGGUGUACAGUUUGAUGGUCUUUGAAGGUAAUCAUUGUAUUGCUUCACAGAAUGAAGUGUAGAAGAUUGUGUGUCUGUAUUUACCCAUUACAGGGAUCUCAUGCGGUGUGACUUCUUUUCCUCCUAAGUUAGGGCAGUGAGACUGGUUAAAAUAACAUUCAGCUCUGAGAAAACCAGUAAUAACGUUGUUUAUCAGCGUUACAUAAAGCUACUGUAAGAAGGUGUUGCUCCCUGACGUAUGGCAAUGUAAUGUAUUAACGCAGUAAGUGAUUCACAUAUUCAUUUAGCAGUUACUGCCAGAAAGGAUAGCAUCCAGGUAUGUCCUUUGAAAGCAUUUCAAAUAGGGAAAAGACAGAAUAACUGAGAUCAACUUGUGCAAGCUGCAAUCCAACAUGCUUCACCAAAUCUCUACAAAUAUUAAGACAAAACUGCACAACAGUGGCAAGGAUGGGUAUUUCUCUCUCUCUCUCUCUUUUUUUUUCCCCUUUAAGUCAAUUAGGGCUGGGAUAGGGCAAUUUUGUAAGAAUUUAAUUAGACUGGUAGCUACAGAUCACACUGAAAAAACUUGUCUUAUAUCCAUCUUGAUAGUAGAGCUGUAUCUAUCCACGCUCGAUUACUAAAGUAUUUCUGCUAAAUUUAUUUCCCCUCACGGUUUUUAGUUAAAUUAACAUGAGAAUUUUAAACCAUCCCCAGUUUUGCAUGCAGUGUGACUCAGUCACCAAAAAUCUGAAGUCACCUUAAGCUUGCUGCUGUUAGCUCAGGGUAUGCUAUUUGUUAUCUUCUUCAUAUACAAUCAAGAGCCUCUACAGUGUGCAAAUCAUAGACUCAUAGAAUCAGAGAAUGGCCUGGGUUGAAAAGGACCACAAUGAUCAUGUAGUUUCAACCCCCUGCUAUGUGCAGGGUCACCAACCACCAGACCAGGCUGCCCAGAGCCACAUCCAGCCUGGCCUUGAAUGCCUCCAGGGAUGGGGCGUCCAAAAUGUUUUUAGCCUUGGAAGCUGUAAAAUGUUUUAGGACAUUAAAAGUUUAUAUAUAUAUUAAGGGCCAAUAAGGAAUACUGAUACAAGUUACGUUCUCCUAUUCUAAUUUUUCAAUUUUUUGGUCGUAAUCUAAAAUACAUUUUACGCCGAGGCUGAAAAGAUGGGGGUCGGUGGGGGCUGGGAGAGCAGUCCGUGAAGGCAGAGAAAGGCGCUCAUUUGUUAACUUCUCAGGCACACGAAAGAACAUGCAGCAACCCAGACAGUACACUUCCCCUGCCAGCUUUGCAGCUCUCCGCCUAACAGUCACUGCUGAUUUUUGCUGUAGGAAGCAAAAUGAUGUGUUUCUGCAGUCGCACCUUUGACAUCAUCUAAAUGGUCUAAGUUACACUGCUAUACUCAAAUGAUACUGUGUAAAUUUGCCACGUAAUGGUUUAGUUAUAGCUUAAGUUAGGGCAAUGCUGCUAUUCCCUGUUCCAAACUUCCAGAACUUAGCAGCCCGCUGUCCUGCACUAUCCUCCUUCCUUCAGUGACUCCUGUUUUACUUUUGGUACGUGGAAGUCACGCUUUCCAAUUCUGUUCUGCAGCUGAUUGGGUACCGCUGUGCCUUAUGGAACUGAGGCAACUACUACAGCCUAGCGUUGUAACCUCUGCGGGAAGACAACAGGAACCGGGUGCAGCACUGGAAACGCUGCCUCUUACUUUGGUGCAGAAGAGCUAGGCUACUUCAGUACCAAAAAUGAAAGCUUCUGAAAAAAUCCCACGUUAGUUCUGAUCAGAAGGAAAAAAAAAAAAAAAGAAAAAGAAAAAGAAGCACAAGAGACUGAAUCACAGAGAAAGACAACAUUAAAAUCCUGGUCUAGUUUCAUGACAGUCUAGACAUUGGAAUGCCACUCGCCAACCAUUUAACCUGUGCAACAAAACUAGCACUUCACAGACGUCACACAAACAACACUGAGUCUGGAAACCAUGUUCUAUGCUGAAGAUUAGUGCAAAUUCCACACCAUUUUCAUGGCAUAGUGGAUUUCCGAAUUACUUGCAUGAAGCAGCUAAGUUCAAGCUCAUUCAUUCACUGAUUUGAGGUUACUAGAAUUUACAAUUCUGCUCCUAUUUUUACAUAAAAUGGGCAUGUGGAAACACUUCAUGCCACCCAGGGGGAAAAAAAAGAAACCCAAGUGGUUUUAAUUUGCUAUGUAAGUUAGGAUUCAUUCUGAUCUAAUUCGUGUGAUAAAUUCUGGAUCCACGUAUGAAGUAACCUAAGAAUUUGAAUCAGCUUAUCUAUUAAGGCUUCCUAAUAUUUCCUGGAGACACCGAGGGUGAAAUCCCGUCCUACUGAACAAAGCUACCUGAAGAUUUACCAGUGGGGGCUCAGGAGAGCUAAGAUUUCGCCUUGGUGUCUUCAGCCAGAAAAAGUUAAGUGAAAGUUUUAAAGCGAUGCGUUAACAGGAAAUCAAUCUAAUCGGAACGUUUACUUUUUCCAUUGCCAGAUGUGCAUUAGUGUCUCUUUUUUUAAUUUUUCUUUUUUUUAAUAGAAAAAAUAUAGUAUUUAAGGAGUGACUGAGACAAAUUGCAGUGAAAAAUUUCUUUUGUGAAAGUUUUUAUCUUUACAUUCAAUAAAGUUGAUCUGAAAUGCUACAAGACUAGAUGCCUAGAAGCAAAAUCUACAGGAAGACUAUAAAGGCUUCUGGUCUCUCUCUAUUGCAGUCAGUCGAAAUUAGAAGGAAGUCUGAAAAUAAAGUCUUUGUCACUAACUGGUCCGUUUUCCCAACCAGAUGUAAAAAAUAAGAGAGUACAAAUGAAGGGGGAUGUUAGAACGUGUAGAUCGUUUCAUUGUUUUGUUUACGCACGGAACAGAAGUUCACAAUCAGUAAGAAAAAUAGGAAGUUAGCAACUGUGCAUGCACCAAAGAGUCCUAAGACAGUUCUCAGGUUUUUGUUUUUUUUUUUUUCUCAUUUGUUUUUAUUUUUCUUCACAGGCAUUGCUAGUUCAAGAACCAACACUCAAAGAAUACUGGCACUUUAAGAGGAAUGAAGUUUCCACUGUCAUUUAAAACAAGCAUUCAGAAGGCAUCAUCAACACCCUAAAAAGACACACAGAUACACACAUUACGAUCACUUCAACAGACUUGGCUGCCUGCUUAUAUACAGCCUCGUUUCAUCUGAGCUGACCAGGUGAAGUGUUUUCAAUCAGCAGCCUGCUCUGCAGGAGGCUGUCAGGAGAGGCUUUACAACACCCCAAGAGCAGGCUGUGGGCUGUAGGAGUUGCCAGGACACCAACACGCUCUUGAGCAUCCCUGGAUUUGGGGAAUGGCCACGUUGAGAAAAACUGAGAUGGUGGGGGGUCUGCAACUGUCUCCCGUUGCAUGAGAAGGACACAUCUGAUGGCAUCGCUGUGUGCAGCCCUGCAGGAGAGCAGCUCUAGGGAGCAGGUGGCCACUGUGUGAGCAGUUCCUCCUGCCUGCAGGCUGAGGAUCAGCCACAUUUAGAUUACAAGGAUGUAUGGUACUACUGCUGGAUUUCAGAAUAAAGCUCUGAAGCAUUUGUUA